GUCUUCGUGGCUCAGUUGGCUAGAGCGUUGGUCUCAUAUUCGUAUGAUUCAACCCCCCAGGGUUGGGAUAUCCAAAGGUCGUGAGUUCGAGCCUCACCGAGGACA
rnacentral:tRNA from 1 species